UACGUAGGGUGCAAGCGUUGUCCGGAAUCAUUGGGCGUAAAGCGCGCGUAGGUGGCCCCAUAAGUCCGCUGUGAAAGUCAAAGGCUCAACCUUUGAAAGCCGGUGGAUACUGUGGGACUAGAGUACGGAAGAGGCGAGUGGAAUUCCUGGUGUAGCGGUGAAAUGCGCAGAUAUCAGGAGGAACACCAAUGGCGAAGGCAGCUCGCUGGGACGGUACUGACGCUGAGACGCGAAAGCGUGGGGAGCGAACAGG
rnacentral:rRNA from 1 species